rnacentral:rRNA from 1 species
CCUACGGGUGGCAGCAGUGAGGAAUAUUGGUCAAUGGUCGGGAGACUGAACCAGCCAAGCCGCGUGAGGGAUGAAGGUACAGAGUAUCGUAAACCUCUUUUGUCAGGGAACAAAGGCGGGGACGUGUCCCCGGAUGACUGUACCUGAAGAAAAAGCAUCGGCAAACUCCGUGCCAGCAGCCGCGGUAAUACGGGGUUUGCUAGCGUUAUCCGGAUUGCUUGGGGUUAAAGGGUUCGCAGGCGGUCUGUUAAGUCAGUGGUAAAAGCCCGGGGCUCAACCCCGGACCGCCGUUGAAACUGGCAGGCUCGAGUUGGAGAGAAGUAUGCGGAAUGCGCGGUGUAGCGGUGAAAUGCAUAGAUAUCGCGCAGAACUCCGAUUGCGAAGGCAGCAUGCCGGCUCCACACUGACGCUGAGGCACGAAAGCGUGGGUAUCGAACAGGAUUAGAUACCCCAGUAGUC